GACGAACGCUGGCGGCGUGCUUAACAUAUGCAAGUCGAGCGGAAAGGCCACUUCGGUGGUACUCGAGCGGCGAACGGGUGAGUAACACGUGAGUAAUCUGCCCCUGGCUUUGGGAUAGCCACCGGAAACGGUGAUUAAUACCGGAUACGACCACUUCUCGCAUGGGAUGGUGGUGGAAAGUUUUUUCGGCCAGGGAUGUGCUCGCGGCCUAUCAGCUUGAUGGUGAGGUAAUGGCUCACCAUGGCUUCGACGGGUAGCCGGCCUGAGAGGGUGAGCGGUCACACUGGGACUGAGACACGGCACAGACUCCUACGGGAGGCAGCAGUGGGGAAUAUUGGACAAUGGGCGGAAGCCUGAUCCAGCAACGCCGCGUGAGGGAUGACGGCCUUCGGGUUGUAAACCUCUUUCAGCAGGGACGAAGCGCAAGUGACGGUACCUGCAGAAGAAGCACCGGCCAACUACGUGCCAGCCGCCGCCGUAA
rnacentral:rRNA from 1 species